rnacentral:rRNA from 1 species
GACGAACGCUGGCGGCGUGCUUAACACAUGCAAGUCGAACGGAAAGGCCCUGCUUUUGUGGGGUGCUCGAGUGGCGAACGGGUGAGUAACACGCGAGUAACCUGUCCUUGACUGUGUGAUAACUUCAGGAAACUGGGGCUAAUACCGGAUAGGAGCUCCUGCUGCAUGGUGGGGGUUGGAAAGUUUCGGCGGUGGGGGAUGGGCUCGCGGCUUAUCAGCUUGUUGGUGGGGUAGUGGCUUACCAAGGCUUUGACGGGUAGCCGGCCUGAGAGGGUGGCCGGCCACAUGGGGACUGCGAUACGGCCCAGACUGCUACGGGAGGCAGCGGUGGGGAAUAUUGCACAAUGAGCGGAAGCCUGAUGCGGAGGCGCCGCGUACGUGAUGACGUCUUUCGAGUUGUAAACAGCUGUCGACUGUGACGAAGCGUGAGUGACGGUACUGGGUAAGGAAGCACCGGCUAACUACGUG